rnacentral:rRNA from 1 species
UUAGCUUGGGAAGUCUGGCUUAUGGAGGGGGGUAACUACGGGAAACUGUAGCUAAUACCGCGUAGUAUCGAGAGAUGAAAGUGCGGGACCGCAAGGCCGCAUGCCAUGAGAUGAGCCCAAGUGGGAUUAGGUAGUUGGUGGGGUAAAGGCCUACCAAGCCUGCGAUCUCUAGCUGGUCUGAGAGGAUGGCCAGCCACACUGGAACUGAGACACGGUCCAG